CCUACGGGGGGCUGCAGUGAGGAAUAUUGGUCAAUGGUCGGGAGACUGAACCAGCCAAGCCGCGUGAGGGAUGAAGGUACAGAGUAUCGUAAACCUCUUUUGUCAGGGAACAAAGGCGGGGACGUGUCCCCGGAUGAGUGUACCUGAAGAAAAAGCAUCGGCAAACUCCGGUCCAGCAGCCGCGGUAAUACGGAGGAUGCGAGGGUUAUCCGGUUUUAUUGGGUUUAAGGGGUGCGCAGGCGGUCUGUUAAGUCAGCGGUAAAAGCCCGGGGCUCAACCCCGGCCCGCCGUUGAAACUGGCAGUCUCGAGUUGGCGAGAAGUAUGCGGAAUGCGAGGUGUAGCGGUGAAAUGCAUAGAUAUCGCGCAGAACUCCGAUUGCGAAGGCAGCAUGCCGGCUCCAAACUGACGCUGAGGCACGAAAGCGUGGGUAUCGAACAGGAUUAGAUACCCGAGUAGUC
rnacentral:rRNA from 1 species